CAUUAAAGAGUUCUAUAACUCCCAAACCCAUGUGAACAUACCUAACGUUGCCUCGGCAGGUCGCACCUACCUUGUAGCACCCUACCCUGUAGGGCCUACCCGGGAGGUGCGGGUAAGCCUGCCGGCGGCCCACCAAACUCUGUUUGAUAUUGAAUUCUGAACCUAUAACUAAAUAAGUUAAAACUUUCAACAACGGAUCUCUUGGUUCUGGCAUCGAUGAAGAACGCAGCGAAAUGCGAUAAGUAAUGUGAAUUGCAGAAUUCAGUGAAUCAUCGAAUCUUUGAACGCAUAUUGCGCCCAUUAGUAUUCUAGUGGGCAGGACCGUUCGAGCGUCAUUUCAACCCUUAAGCCUUCGUUGCUUAGUGUUGGGAGCCUACGGCAACGUAGCUCCUCAAAGUUAGUGGCGGAGUUGGUUCACACUCUAGACGUAGUAAUUUUUUAUCUCGCCUAUUAGUUGGACUAAUCCCCUGCCGUAAAACCCCCAAUUUAUCAAGGUUGACCUCGAAUCGGUUCAGACAAACUCGCUAAAUUGAAGCAUCUUAGUCAGCGAAGGAAAAGAAACCAACAGGGAUUGCCCUAGUAACG
rnacentral:rRNA from 1 species